rfam:Epulopiscium sp. Nele67-Bin004 Nele67MMBin003_202, whole genome shotgun sequence.
GAACGCCGUAUGAAGGGAGACUUUCACGUACGGUGUGAGGCAGGGGGAAAAUUGGAGAUAAUUUCAAAUUUUUACCUAUUGCUAU